UCUGUAACUACGUCAGCGAGCAGAUUCCGUGGACGAGCAAUCAUCGCUCUGGCAUAGCAACCGGCCCCGCAUUCAAGGAUUCGAUGUCGCGAGGCGGUCGUAUAUGUGAAUCAGGUUUAUAAAUAUAUCCGUCGGAACGAACGAAGACGCCGUUGGAUCUUGAAACCGAUUCGUAGAGAGGUUAUCGAUCCACCGCGAUGGGGGUGUUACGGUUCGCCGCGAAACACCGCGUAAACACUCUAUCUUCCUUCUCCGCAACCGGGUAUUAACGGCCUGAUAAAACGUGGAAAGCUUUACCAAUCGUCACUCAUAGUGGGGGCAAAAGACGAAAGAAUCAAUCGAAACUUGAUUCCAGUAUUUUCUAUUUCGAAUAUUUCAUUUUUUUGUACUUUUGUUUAAUAAUUAAAAUAUUAAUUCUUAAUUUAUCUACACGAUAUUAUUUUUAUUGUGAAAUUUGUAUGUGUAAACUUGUAUUUUAUUGUUAAGUGCAUACGAACGACUUUUCUUGUUUUUAAUAGGAGAAACAAGAGGAAACAUAUGAUUGUGCGUUGAAAAGUUAUGCUCAUGCGCACUGAAUCUGAGUUUGUAUAUUUAUGGUUGGUAUUUACCAUAUAAGUUUCAUGAUGUGAAAAAGUAAAUAUUUUUUUGUGUCAUGGAAACGAGGAUUAUAGUGGUAGAAUAUAAUAGAAAUUGUCUAUAUACUAUGGAAAUUUAUUUAGAUAAUAAUUUCAUUUUGUCAAGUAAUUUUCAAGAAAUUCUAAAAAAUCGUCUUUCAAUCAAUGAAAUCAGAUCGAAUAAGUAAUUGGAAGAAAUCAUAUCAUUAUCCACAAUUCAGUGAAAAAUCGAGUUGAGUUCUGAAAGAAGCUGUAGCAGGCCGUAGUCACAUUCGUGAGGCUACCUACACGAGCAGGCCCCGAGGGACCGACCGGUCUGGCCAUAUUAGUCCACAGAGUACACGAGGAGGCUGACGUCACCGAAGGGUCGCGUUCUCCUGCUGCGACAUAAUGUCCUAGACGUUUCACAUCUACGGCUACCCUAUCGCCAACUAAAUACCGUUUUCCAAAGAUCUACGUGAUUUUACCGACCGAUUGAAAACUGGUCACGUAGCAAGUAGUUUCCUUAAGUGGCAACCAACGAAAAGAUAUCAUACUCUGAAGAUUAAUAGAAUGAAUGUUGAACGUUCGAAAUUUUAAUCGAACCAAUGGAGGACAUACACGAGGAAAAUCAGUUGAGAAAUCGAACGGUACUUUGAAGGAACGAGUCGCCAGGCUGGCAAGGCUUUACCAACGUUCUACCGGUGCACGUGCAGGUUUACACGUAUGAAAUGUCAGAACAACGGGUGGAUUGAUUGUUUAAACAAGCAUUUAAGCGUCUCGAAGGUGUCGCAAAGCCUCGACUAUUUCCUCGAAGGUUGACCAAGGACGCAAGGAUCUGAAUAGAAAAGAGAGAAGAAAGCCUAUACAUAUACAGAUGUUAGUCGCAAAAGCCGUGUCUAACGAAUCGAUUCGUUAAGUCUUCUUGGAUGGUUGCUCGUGGAAGGCGCUUUAACGUACAUAACAGUUCUAGCGUUACUUCUCGGGUAUACUAAUCGUCUGAAAGGGUUCUGGCCUUAUGAACGAGCAAAGUCAGAUAUUGGAACUGUAAAGGAAUUUAAAUAUUAUUCAACGUGGAAUUUUAUCAAAUUAAAGCUAAAAUUAAAAUUUAAACUAAAUUGAAAUCUUUGAAAUUCUUCUCCAUUGAUUCGUUCAUAACUCAUAUUGAAAAAAAGGAGCAACGAAAAUAAUGAAGGCAUUCUUCGGUCAAGCUAUCGGUCGGGCAAGUCGGUGCAAGAGCUCGAGGCUUCUAGAACAAAAUGGAAAUUUUCCGCCAUUUUCCGCAUUUUGGGGGUUGGACCAAAGGGAUGCUGCGCAGAUGUGAUACUUUCAUCUAUACAGAGGGUAGAGCAAUGCUCUGAUUGGAUCAGUAUCCCCUGUUUCAGAGGGUUGUUACUUCCCUCUCCUUCAAUCUAAAUACUGGAUAUGGUGUAUCCUCCAUUUUAUAAAAUUAAAGUAAUAUCAAAAAAUUUCAAGAAGAAGUGUCAUCUAAACAACCUCUGAGUAGAAUCAUCAAUUGAUAGAAUUGAAAAUCCUCUUCAAGCAAGGCUUGGAAUUGAUCUUUGGAGCCUGGACAGAGACGCAAAG